GGAGAGGUGGCAGAGUGGUCUAAUGCGCACGCUUGGAAAGCGUGUGUAGGGAAACCUACCGAGGGUUCGAAUCCCUCCCUCUCCGCCA
rnacentral:tRNA from 1 species